UCAAAGAGGAGGAAAUUUUGGCACUCACCACCUCUUUUGGGCAUAUGAACCUCGAUGACUCGCCAAGGUCUUUACCGGCGAAGAGAGGUUUGAUUGAUGACGGUGCUGAUGAAACUGCUGGCUGAACCUCCGUCCGUACAAAAAGCCCACAAUAAUACCGUACUCGAAGGGUGAGGGCAAUUUUGGUUGCCCUCAACUUCACAGGGAAGGUGAGCAAGAAAAUAUAUUGCUCGGAGACCUGCGCAAAUUCAGACCCGGAGGUAUGCUUGUGGUUAACCAUAACAGCACCACCCUCAAGUGGAAUCCCCUGGGUUGCACUGUAAGUUUUCAAAAGUUCUUUCUAGGUAUCUGGAAGCAUUCAUUUCUGAAACCUAAUGAAUAUAAGAUAUCUUUUUUUAUGAGCAAAAACUCGGCGACUUUUUCAAGCCUCUUUCAGGUUGUACGAAUUAUGUUGAAGAUAUACUUUAAUCGAUAGAGAUGAAAGUUGCAUAUUUUAAUUGGGGAAAUUGUUUAACUUGUUUCUGUAAAUAAUAUAUAGAGAGAAUUCAACUGCUGUUAUUAUACAUAUAUAUAAUAUUUUAUUAUAUUUUGAAACCCCUAGAGUUAGUUUACAUUUAUUCGUUAUUUAAUCAUUUACUCAAUUUUGUGCAAUGUGUAAUUAUAUAUUUCAAUGUUUAUGUCAAAAUUUUUUUUAUUAAAUACUUACAUACAAAUAAAAUUUGUAAUUUUCA